UUUGCUUUGUGGUAUUGUCUGUCAGUCUGAGAUGUGUUUCCUGUGUGCAGCAAAAUGCUGGGUCCUGUUUAUAUAUCCAGUCUGUUAGCCUGUGUCUUUUUAUUGGGGAAUUGUGUCCAUUUUUGUUGAGAGAUAAUCCAGACACUAGCACUGCCUGUAGAUAAAUACUGCAUCAAUGGAGGUAGGAAUGUCUACCCUAGCUUCUAGUCACUUUGCCCCAAAGUGCAAAAGACUGAUAUAUGACACAUACUCAAGACAGACAACAAGCUCUUCAGGGAAAAGACUUUUUGUAAUUAUGUUGCUCUAUCUCAGCAUUUUAAUUGUUCCAGCUACAAGUUCUAUCAAACAGAGAUGGAAGAGCUAGCCUUUAAGGGUGCUACAGAGCAGUCCAUACAGCACUUCAACAAUGGGGUAUUCAAAAAGCCAGGAG
rnacentral:lncRNA from 1 species